GCGAUGAGGAGUAGAAGAAGCCGUCACCUUCACUGGAGCCACGAUCGCUGUCGCCGUUCUGCCUUCCCUUGAGCCGCCAAUACCACCAUAUUCUUCCAAUCCGCCACACUUACCGCCGGCGAAGCUUCUGUUGCCGUCACCGCAGAAAGGGGGUUGCUGCUGCUGUCAUGGCCGUCUUCCUUGCCGCUAUAACUUCAUUCAAUCCUUAACUGUUGGAACUCACCGCUGGUACCAACCGAGACCUCUGCUACUAAUGGUUCAAUGCGAUACAAAACAGCGAUGGAGAAAGGGACAGAACUCGCCAGAGGAGGUUGCUGGAGCCGUUGCUCCAAACUGCCCUGCCUUUUCCCUGCUCCAGUGCCGCUGCUACUGCUGGAAAGUGAUCCGAAAUAUUGCUGCUGUUGCCAUGGAUUAAGAAAAAGGGGUUCGUGGCAAUUAAUUCUUGCAAGUUCGACACUCUGAGAAAAUGGGAUAGAUAAGAGAAUAACUCCAUUGGAACAGCGGUGUGUUCGCUAUGUUGACAACUUUAGUUCAGGUCAUAGGGGAGCCACAUCCACAGAGUAUUUUCUGAAGGCGCGAUAUGCUGUGUUCUUCUUGUAUCGGAGUUUGUCUCUUUAAAACCAGAGAAAGGGAAUCAAAUAGUGGGUCUUUCUGUAGCUGCGACUACCUUAGACAUUGAGCUACACUACAGACAACAGUGAAGAAAACACGAGGACCUACACAAUGCUUGAAGAUUCAUGCAAGACAAUUGGAAGAUAGAGAAGAAAUUACUCUAGAUAUUGAAGGAAAGGCAAUUGGUCCUACUGAUGAAGCUAUAAACAACUUGAGCAAAUUUUUGGGCACAGUGACAAGGAAUUUAGAUUUUUGUCCAUUAAUUUACACAAAUUGGAAGGGGAUUAAAGAUAAAGAAGCCAUUUGAGAGUAUGUUCAAGUGAGAAUAUUAGUCUUGUUUCUUUUAGAAACUAUCUAGAAAUGUACAUAUAUAUUCUUACUAGCAAAUAAUAUUUGUGUUUUAUAGGCUAAAUUCAUUAUUGCAACUGAAGGAAAGAGGAUGGUCCUUGCUUGUAUCAACUCUCUUUUGUUAUUAUAUUUUUUGCAAACUUAGAUGAUAGUGGAUCUUACAACAAUUUUUAUAAGUUAAAUUUGAUGGGAAAUGUUCAAUUA